GACGAACGCUGGCGGCGUGCUUAACACAUGCAAGUCGAACGGACAGACAGAGAGCUUGCUCUCUUGUAGUUAGUGGCGAACGGGUGAGUAACGCGUAAUCAACCUGCCCUUCAGAGGGGGAUAACAACGGGAAACCGUUGCUAAUACCGCGUACGAUUCAUGAACGGCAUCGUUUAUGAAUGAAAGGUGGCCUCUAUGUAUAAGCUAUCGCUGAAGGAGGGGAUUGCGUCUGAUUAGCUAGUUGGAGGGGUAACGGCCCACCAAGGCAAUGAUCAGUAGCCGGUCUGAGAGGAUGAACGGCCACAUUGGGACUGAGACACGGCCCAAACUCCUACGGGAGGCAGCAGUGGGGAAUCUUCCGCAAUGGACGAAAGUCUGACGGAGCAACGCCGCGUGAGUGAUGAAGGUCUUAGGAUUGUAAAGCACUUUAAGUUGGGAGGAAGAGCAGUUAACUAAUAUUUGACUGUUUUGACGUUACCGACAGAAUAAGCACCGGCUAACUUCGUGCCAGCCGCCGCCGUAA
rnacentral:rRNA from 1 species